rnacentral:rRNA from 1 species
UGGGGAAUAUUGCACAAUGGGCGCAAGCCUGAUGCAGCCAUGCCGCGUGUGUGAAGAAGGCCUUCGGGUUGUAAAGCACUUUCAGCGAGGAGGAAGGUGGUGAGCUUAAUACGCUCAUCAAUUGACGUUACUCGCAGAAGAAGCACCGGCUAACUCCGUGCCAGCAGCCGCGGUAAUACGGAGGGUGCAAGCGUUAAUCGGAAUUACUGGGCGUAAAGCGCACGCAGGCGGUUUGUUAAGUCAGAUGUGAAAUCCCCGGGCUCAACCUGGGAACUGCAUUUGAAACUGGCAAGCUAGAGUCUCGUAGAGGGGGGUAGAAUUCCAGGUGUAGCGGUGAAAUGCGUAGAGAUCUGGAGGAAUACCGGUGGCGAAGGCGGCCCCCUGGACGAAGACUGACGCUCAGGUGCGAAAGCGUGGGGCAGCAAACAGGAUUAGAUACCCUGGUAGUCCACGCUGUAAACGAUGUCGAUUUUGGAGGUUGUGCCCCUUGAGGCGUGGNUUCCGGAGCUAACGCGUUAAAUCGACCGCCUGGGGAGUACGGCC